AGUGAACGCUGGCGGUAGGCCUAACACAUGCAAGUCGAACGGCAGCACAGUAAGAGCUUGCUCUUACGGGUGGCGAGUGGCGGACGGGUGAGGAAUACAUCGGAAUCUACUUUUUCGUGGGGGAUAACGUAGGGAAACUUACUCUAAUACCGCAUACGACCUACGGGUGAAAGCAGGGGAUCUUCGGACCUUGCGCGAUUGAAUGAGCCGAUGUCGGAUUAGCUAGUUGGCGGGGUAAAGGCCCACCAAGGCGACGAUCCGUAGCUGGUCUGAGAGGAUGAUCAGCCACACUGGAAGUGAGACACGGUCCAGACUCCUACGGGAGGCAGCAGUGGGGAAUAUUGGACAGUGGGCGCAAGCCUGAUCCAGCCAUACCGCGUGGGUGAAGAAGGCCUUCGGGUUGUAAAGACCUUUUGUUGGGAAAGAAAAGCAGCAGGUUAAUACCCCGCUGUUCUGACGGUACCCAAAGAAUAAGCACCGGCUAACUUCGUG
rnacentral:rRNA from 1 species